AUGCCUACGCCACCCAUGGACUCGAACACGGAGCAAAGGCCCAGCGGCAGCCUUCUCCUGCUACUCCUCAUCGCCGGUGUUGUCGCCGUCUUUGUUCGGCUGAGCCGACGGUGGGGGCAUGGGAGGAGCAGAGCGCCGAGCCCUCCGUCGCUCCCGCUGCUCGGCCACCUGCACCUGCUCAAGAAGCCGCUACACCGCUCCCUGGCCGCGCUCGCCGGGCCGGCGCCCCUCGUGUCGCUCCGGCUGGGCGCGCGCCGGGCGCUGGUCGUGUCAAGGAGUGCUUCACGGCGCACGACGCCGCGCUGGCAGGGAGACCGCAGCUGCUCGUCGCGGAGCACCUCGGGUACGGCCGCACCACCAUCUCGUGGGCCUCUGACGGUGCCCACUGGCGCGGCCUGCGCCGGUUCCUCGCCGUCGAGCUCUUCUCAACCUCCCGCCUCGCCGCGCUUGCCGCCGACCGCCGCGCCGAGGUGACGUCGCUCGUCCAGAACCUGCUCGACGACACCAGCGCAAGCGCCAUUGGUGGGGUUAUUACCCUCCGGAACAGGCUGUUCGAGCUGGUGCUCAACGUGAUGCUGCACGCGCUCACCACGCGCCGGCACACCGGCGACUUGCGCAGAUUCCAGGAGAUUGUGGAGGAAUCAUUCGUGGUGAGCGGCACGCCGAGCAUCGGGGACUUCUUCCCGGCGCUGCGGUGGGUCGACCGUCUCCGCGGCGUCGAGGCGGCGCUUGCAAGCCUGCAGACAAGGCGUGACGCGUUCGUUGCUGGCCUCAUCAAUAACUGCCGGGAAAUGCGUAACGCCGGUGGCGGAGACGUGGGGAAGAAGGGCGUAAUCGACGUGCUCUUGGAUCACCAAGAAACCGAUCCUGGGUAUUACACCGACACCGUCAUCAAAGGCAUCGUCUUGGUAAUGCUCACCGCCGGCACCGAUACGUCGGCGCUGACCACCGAGUGGGCGAUGGCGCUGCUGCUGAAGCACCCAAAGGCGAUGGCGAAGGCGAGGGCCGAGAUAGACGCCAUUGUCGGCAUGAGCCGGCUGGUUGAGGAGUCGGACAUCACCAACCUACCUUACCUGCAAUGCGUUGUCAAGGAGACCCUUCGACUCUGCCCUGUCGGCCCGGUCAUCCCAGCACAUGAGGCCAUGGAGGACUGCACGGUGGGUGGCUUUCAUGUCCAGCGCGGCACGAUGAUCCUCGUGAACGCAUGGGCGAUACACCGGGACGCCAAUGUCUGGGAUGCACCAGAGGAGUUCAGGGCAGAGAGGUUCUUGGGCAGAGACGCGGUCGCCAUGCCCAUGCUGCCGUUCGGGCUUGGCAGGAGGCGGUGCCCCGGUGAGGGCCUGGCGAUGCGCGUCGUAAGCUUGACACUGGCAGCACUCCUGCAGUGCUUUGAGUGGGAUGUUGGUGAUGGCGACACCAUCGACAUGGCUGAAGGUGGUGGACUGACAAUGCCAAUGGCGACGCCAUUGGCGGCUGUCUGUCGGCCCCGGGAAUUUGUCAAGAGUGUGCUCUCUGCCUCCACUUCAUGGACAUAAAGACAGGUUUCUAAAGAAAGAGAAGAAACUGGAUUAAACUUGUUUAGCAAUGGUGCCAAUGAAUCUUGAGAUAAAUACUUCAGCAAGAUUCCAUUAGAUGAUGCUGAACAUUACAAUAUCAGACGAUUGUAAAACUAAUUUCAGUGAAUGGGUGUUGGGCAAUAAACCAAAAACUGUUUAAUAGAACAGCAAUAAUUUUGUUGAUGGAUU